AUUGAACGCUGGCGGCAUGCUUUACACAUGCAAGUCGAACGGUAACAGGCCGCAAGGUGCUGACGAGUGGCGGGCGGGUGAGUAAUGCAUCGGAACGUGCCCAGUCGUGGGGGAUAACUACUCGAAAGAGUAGCUAAUACCGCAUACGAUCUAUGGAUGAAAGCGGGGGACCGUAAGGCCUCGCUCGAUUGGAGCGGCCGAUGUCAGAUUAGGUAGUUGGUGGGGUAAAGGCUCACCAAGCCAACGAUCUGUAGCCGGUCUGAGAGGACGACCAGCCACACUGGGACUGAGACACGGCCCAGACUCCUACGGGAGGCAGCAGUGGGCAAUUUUGGACAAAGGGCGCAAGCCUGAUCCAGCAAUGCCGCGUGCAGGAAGAAGGCCUUCGGGUUGUAAACUGCUUUUGUACGGAACGAAACGGCUCUGGUUAAUACCCGGGGCUAAUGACGGUACCGUAAGAAUAAGCACCGGCUAACUACGUG
rnacentral:rRNA from 1 species